CCUGGCCCUAGAGGCAUUGCAGGUGUGGCUGCUGUGUCACAUGUGCAUCAUAGGUGACAAAGAAGAGAGAGGCUCAGUGUUCUGGCCUGUGAACAUCUGAAUGAUUAGUAGCCUAACGUU
ensembl:snoRNA Gm22938 predicted gene, 22938